UGACUCCAGUCUGCUCUGCCCUCCCUCCCCUGGAGCCCAGGGAGGAAGAGGAGGACCACGUUGCAUUCACUUGGACCGACCUGCAGUAGACUUCCAAUAGGCUUCCGCAGGCACACCUCGACCCCCUGGCAAUCUGCCACCAGUGGGCAGGGCUUGGCCUCCCACCAGUCCAGGUCACCACAGGCGUUUUGGUCAUCCUUCGUAUCAGUGACACCCUGAUAGUAGGGCCCACCGAAAACCAGGUGGAGGGGGUGCUUGCUGCAGUUAGUCACCAGGACUAGUGACAGUUGGCCUCUAAACCCAGAUAAAGCCCAGGGCCCAGCACAGCAGGUGCCAUUCCUAAGGGCCACUAGGGCAGGAAGCCAAUGAAGCAGCCCAGAUUCGGUAAAGCAAAAAAUGCUUGCCCCUGGCGGCACUGGAGACAGCAUGUAUACCUGUGAGUGGUCUUUUGCCCCCACUAGUUUAGGUGACCCCCAGGUACCAAUUUUCAAAAAUGAAAGAAUAAAGACAGACUAAAAGUUAAAAAAAAAAAAAAAAAA